rnacentral:rRNA from 1 species
UACGGAGGGUGCAAGCGUUAAUCGGAAUUACUGGGCGUAAAGCGCACGUAGGUGGUUUUCUAAGUCAGCUGUGAAAUCCCCGGGCUCAACCUGGGACUUGCAGUUGAAACUGGGAAGCUAGAGUAGGGUAGAGGGGUGUGGAAUUCCAGGUGUAGCAGUGAAAUGCGUAGAGAUCUGGAGGAACACCGAUGGCGAAGGCAGCCCCCUGGGCUAACACUGACGCUCAUGCACGAAAGCGUGGGGAGCAAACAGG